AAAAGUAAAAAAAAAUUAAUCAAAUGGCUGCAGUAUUCCUGACUGUAUUAAGGUAGCACAAUCAAUCGCCGCUUAAUUGGCGGAUAGCAUGAAUGGUAACACGAAGACUUCACUGUCUCAAGUAUGGGAGAAAAGAAAUUGAAAUAAUAGUUAAGAUGCUAUUUACAAUCGUAAGACGAUAAGACCCUAUAAAGCUUAACUACAACUUUUUCAUUAUAUAAUGGAUAAACUGGUAGUUUACUUGGGGCAAGGGCUUUUUAAAAAGAAAAAAAGUAAGCAAAGCAAAUAUAAAAAAAGUUUAUUGUAUAAAUUAUAAAUUUAACAAUCAUAAUGUGGGCUAUAAUGACCCGUUAAUACUCCCAAUCAGAUUAACGAUCAAUUGAUAAAAGCUACUUUAGGGAUAACAGGAUAAUUUCAUCAAAGAGACCAUAUCACUGAUGAAGUUUGUCACCUCGAUGUUGAAUUAAGAUAACCGAGCAGAGCAAAAACUGCUUAAGGUAGGUCUGUUCGACCUUUAAAUAUCUUACAUGAUUU
rnacentral:rRNA from 1 species